rnacentral:rRNA from 1 species
UACGAAGGGGGCUAGCGUUGCUCGGAAUCACUGGGCGUAAAGCGCACGUAGGCGGAUUGUUAAGUCAGGGGUGAAAUCCUGGAGCUCAACUCCAGAACUGCCUUUGAUACUGGCGAUCUUGAGUCCGGGAGAGGUGAGUGGAACUGCGAGUGUAGAGGUGAAAUUCGUAGAUAUUCGCAAGAACACCAAAGGCGAAGGCAGCAUUCUGGCUCGUAACUGACGCUCAUGUGCGAAAGCUAGGGGAGCGAACGGG